rnacentral:rRNA from 1 species
AUGUUCCCUGGAGCUGCUAUUAAAGCCCUUCCCAGAGUGGGCAGUGACCACACCCCUUUGGUUUUAAAUACUAAUUCUGGGCCCCAUACUCCUAAAUCUAAAUUAUUUAGAUUUGAAAAAUGGUGGCUUAACAUCCCUGGCUUUGAUGAAGUUAUUCAUAAAGCCUGGAACACUCAAUGUAAAGCCACUAAGGCCAUUGAUAUUUGGCAAUUUAAAAUCAGAACUACUAGGAAAGUUGCCAAAGGUUGGUGUGCUAACUAUGAAGCCGACCAAAACAGGAGGAAGCAAGCCCUAGUAGCUGAAUAUGAUUGCUUAGAUAUUCUGGCUGAGUCUCAGCCUUUAUCUCCUAACUCUAAGAAUAAUAUGGAAAACAUUGCAGGUGAGUUGAAUGAAAUAUGGAAAAGAGAGGAGAUCAAGGCCAGACAGAGGUCCAGGGAGAGAGAGAUCCUAGAGGGUGAAUAUAACACUGGCUACUUUAAAGCUCUGGCAAAUCAAAAAAGGAGGAAAAAAUAG